rnacentral:rRNA from 1 species
GUGCCUACGGGAGGCAGCAGUGGGGAAUAUUGCACAAUGGGGGGAACCCUGAUGCAGCGACGCCGCGUGAGUGGAGAAGUAUUUCGGUACGUAAAGCUCUAUCAGCAGGGAAGAAAAAAGGACGGUACCUGAGUAAGAAGCCCCGGCUAACUACGUGCCAGCAGCCGCGGUAAUACGUAGGGGGCAAGCGUUAUCCGGAAUUACUGGGUGUAAAGGGAGCGUAGACGGCAAUGCAAGUCCGGGGUGGAAUGCGGCAGCUCAACUGCCGAACGGCUCUGGAAAAUGUCUGGCU